rnacentral:rRNA from 1 species
UUAGUCAAUGCUCGCAAGAGUGAACUAGCUAACUGAAAUCAAAUUUACGUUAAGUUUGAUAACGUAAGGGAAGAUAAUGACAUUACCUUACUAUUAGUGUUGUCCAAAUAUGGUGCCAGAAGACUCGGUAAGGCCAAAAACGCGAACGUUAGUCGUCUUAAUCAGGCGUAAAGGGUGUGUAGGCUGCAAAAAGUUUUUUCUUUAUUACAAUAAUAAUAAUUCUUUUGCUUUUAAAAAUUUUAAAAGUCUAAAUUUAUAAAAUGUAGACUGAUUAAUUCUAAAAUAUAUGUAAUUAUAUAUCACAUAUAUAAAACUAUAGUAAUUUUUAGUUAAAUAAAGAAAAAAUUAUUUAGUAAAAAAGGAAUUAAUUAAAGUAAAGAUAAAAUGAAUAAGCUAGAAUCAAAUAGAGGAUAUUUAAAUAAUACUUAGAGGAGGGGUGAUAUCUUUAGAUACUAAGUAGAAUAUUAAUGGUGAAAGCUUUUAUCUAUUAAUGAUUGACGCUGAGAAACGAAGGUGAGGAUAGGAAAUAGGAUUAGAUACCCAGAUACCCCUCUCUGUCAACGAUGAAUGGUGGUUGCUAGUUAUAUAAAUUAAUUGGUGGCUAUGUUAACACGAUAACCAUUCCGCCAUGUGAGUACGACUGCAAAGUUGAAAACAAAAAAAUUAGUCGGUCUCGAAGCAAACGAAGUGAAGCAUGUUAUUUA